UAUUACAAUGAAGAGUUUGAUCCUGGCUCAGGAUGAACGCUAGCUACAGGCUUAACACAUGCAAGUCGAGGGGCAGCAUGGUCUUAGCUUGCUAAGGCCGAUGGCGACCGGCGCACGGGUGAGUAACACGUAUCCAACCUGCCGUCUACUCUUGGACAGCCUUCUGAAAGGAAGAUUAAUACAAGAUGGCAUCAUGAGUCCGCAUGUUCACAUGAUUAAAGGUAUUCCGGUAGACGAUGGGGAUGCGUUCCAUUAGAUAGUAGGCGGGGUAACGGCCCACCUAGUCUUCGAUGGAUAGGGGUUCUGAGAGGAAGGUCCCCCACAUUGGAACUGAGACACGGUCCAAACUCCUACGGGAGGCAGCAGUGAGGAAUAUUGGUCAAUGGGCGAGAGCCUGAACCAGCCAAGUAGCGUGAAGGAUGACUGCCCUAUGGGUUGUAAACUUCUUUUAUAAAGGAAUAAAGUCGGGUAUGGAUACCCGUUUGCAUGUACUUUAUGAAUAAGGAUCGGCUAACUCCGUGCCAGCAGCCGCGGUAAUACGGAGGAUCCGAGCGUUAUCCGGAUUUAUUGGGUUUAAAGGGAGCGUAGAUGGAUGUUUAAGUCAGUUGUGAAAGUUUGCGGCUCAACCGUAAAAUUGCAGUUGAUACUGGAUAUCUUGAGUGCAGUUGAGGCAGGCGGAAUUCGUGGUGUAGCGGUGAAAUGCUUAGAUAUCACGAAGAACUCCGAUUGCGAAGGCAGCCUGCUAAGCUGCAACUGACAUUGAGGCUCGAAAGUGUGGGUAUCAAACAGGAUUAGAUACCCUGGUAGUCCACACGGUAAACGAUGAAUACUCGCUGUUUGCGAUAUACGGCAAGCGGCCAAGCGAAAGCGUUAAGUAUUCCACCUGGGGAGUACGCCGGCAACGGUGAAACUCAAAGGAAUUGACGGGGGCCCGCACAAGCGGAGGAACAUGUGGUUUAAUUCGAUGAUACGCGAGGAACCUUACCCGGGCUUAAAUUGCAGAUGAAUUACGGUGAAAGCCGUAAGCCGCAAGGCAUCUGUGAAGGUGCUGCAUGGUUGUCGUCAGCUCGUGCCGUGAGGUGUCGGCUUAAGUGCCAUAACGAGCGCAACCCUUGUUGUCAGUUACUAACAGGUCAUGCUGAGGACUCUGACAAGACUGCCAUCGUAAGAUGUGAGGAAGGUGGGGAUGACGUCAAAUCAGCACGGCCCUUACGUCCGGGGCUACACACGUGUUACAAUGGGGGGUACAGAGGGCCGCUACCACGCGAGUGGAUGCCAAUCCCCAAAACCUCUCUCAGUUCGGACUGGAGUCUGCAACCCGACUCCACGAAGCUGGAUUCGCUAGUAAUCGCGCAUCAGCCACGGCGCGGUGAAUACGUUCCCGGGCCUUGUACACACCGCCCGUCAAGCCAUGGGAGCCGGGGGUACCUGAAGUGCGUAACCGCGAGGAGCGCCCUAGGGUAAAACUGGUGACUGGGGCUAAGUCGUAACAAGGUAGCCGUACCGGAAG
rnacentral:rRNA from 2 species